ensembl:lncRNA
UUUAAAAUUGGCCCCCUUAUUCAGCCUGCUGGAGAAAACUGGCCAUUAUCACCUGCAGAGCGUCCCCACCCCCACCCCCCAGAGCACGUGGAGUGUGCCACGCGGGUACUCUGCUUGGGUCUGUGGAGGAGAUCAGAGAAUGUUGGGUAAGGGCGUCUGUAUUUAAUGAGUUUUUUAAGUGAUAACCACUAUGUGCCUAAGAAAGUGUUAGUCACUCAGUCAUGUCCGACUCUUUGCGAUCUCAUGAACUGUUGCCCAGAAGGCUCCUCUAUCCAUGAGAUUUUCCAGGCAAGAAUAUUGGAGUGGGUUACCAUUUCUUCCUCUAGGGGAUCUUCCCAACCCAGGGAUCAAACCCGGGUCUCUUCCACUGCAGACAGAUUCUUUACUCUGAGCCACCAGGGAAGAGGUACCUAAGAAAAUCAGACUUUAAAAGUGUGAAGCUGUCUGAAUGGCUGUGGUUAUAACUGACUUAUUGCUGGGUUCCUGGAUCCUUCAAGUUCCCAGAUGUCCUCUCGCUACUUUUCUGUCCAGGGAACGGGGACUAUCUGAAGGGGAGGUCAGGAGAAAGAGAAUCAUAACACGAAGUGUCUGGAGCCAGUAGACAGCCCACCGAGACUGAGGCCACGUGGGGGAGGAGUGCCCGAGACCCUAGUGUGGUAAAGCAGAGAGAGCUGGUAUGCUUCCGAGUGAUUUCCGAGGACGCACUGGCUAGCUGCCCACUCAUAACCGAGGACAGGCAGCUUCCCAGAUGAGUCCGCUGACUGCCCCUUGCCAUACUGUAUGGCUCUCAACUUGCAGCCUGGCGGGCGUCUCCAGGAGCGUGACCCUGGUGGUCGCCUAUAUCAUGACGGUCACCGACUUUGGCUGGGAGGACGCCCUGCACACCGUGCGCGCAGGCCGGUCGUGUGCCAACCCCAACCUGGGCUUCCAGAAGCAGCUGCAGGAGUUUGAGGAGCUCCAGGUCCACCAGUUGUCUCUGCAGCCUUGUGCUAAAGUGUGUGGUCGCAGUUGCUUUGGAAGCCAGAGGGAGAGGAGUGCGUCUCUGGGCUGUUCGAAGCUUCCGACUCGGGCUUUGGGAGCGCCUGGUGGUGGGUGAUUCUGACGCCGGGCUGUGCUGGCUGCCCCAGGCAUUCCGAAGUCCUGGCCCUUUCUCGGAAGACCAUAGCGCACCUGAGACACUGCCAGAGCUUAGGUGCUGCCGGAAGAAGAGCAACCAGAGUCCAGCUUAGGUGUCCAGACGCCGUGUGCGAGCACGCACUUCGUUGCUCCACGCUGGGAGCUACGCACCCUCUGACAGGAGAACAAUUUUGGCCUAAUUCCUUGUUUGCUGGAAGCUGUGCUGCCCCCAGGCUGUCUCAGGGCCCUGCCGGGCGCACCCUGCUCCUCGGGACUGUCUCUCGGGCUGUGUGGCCCCAGGCACCUCCCCAUCCUCAGCCCAGGUAUGGAGCCCACAUGCUCCUGCCACGGGCACCACGAGGCGGGUUUGGGGGCUGCUCUGCUGUGUUAAGGCCACUGCCCUCCUCCAGAAGGGAGUGUGCUGGCACCAGGAGACGAGGGCUCCCUUCCCUGAGCAGCGGGUGCCCUGUGAGCAGGGGGACAUUGGAGAGGGGGUGCGCCGGGCUCCUCAGGGACUUCCCCUCAUUCCAAGCUCAGCUUCAAUCCAAGAAUGUUAACUGGUGUGGACAGCAGUUUAAGACAGUUUCCCAGUGUUUUCUCAUCUAA